rnacentral:rRNA from 1 species
GGGCUGGAUCUCUCGGGGUUACAGCCUUGCUGAAUUAUUCACCCUUGUCUUUUGCGUACUUCUUGUUUCCUUGGUGGGUUCGCCCACCACUAGGACAAACAUAAACCUUUUGUAAUUGCAAUCAGCGUCAGUAACAAAUUAAUAAUUACAACUUUCAACAACGGAUCUCUUGGUUCUGGCAUCGAUGAAGAACGCAGCGAAAUGCGAUAAGUAGUGUGAAUUGCAGAAUUCAGUGAAUCAUCGAAUCUUUGAACGCACAUUGCGCCCUUUGGUAUUCCAAAGGGCAUGCCUGUUCGAGCGUCAUUUGUACCCUCAAGCUUUGCUUGGUGUUGGGCGUCUUGUCUCUAGCUUUGCUGGAGACUCGCCUUAAAGUAAUUGGCAGCCGGCCUACUGGUUUCGGAGCGCAGCACAAGUCGCACUCUCUAUCAGCAAAGGUCUAGCAUCCAUUAAGCCUUUUUUCAACUUUUGACCUCGGAUCAGGUAGGGAUACCCGCUGAACUUAAGCAUAUCA